GAUGAACGCUGGCGGCGUGCCUAAUACAUGCAAGUCGAACGAACAGACGAGGAGCUUGCUCCUCUGACGUUAGCGGCGGACGGGUGAGUAACACGUGGAUAACCUACCUAUAAGACUGGGAUAACUUCGGGAAACCGGAGCUAAUACCGGAUAAUAUAUUGAACCGCAUGGUUCAAUAGUGAAAGACGGUUUUGCUGUCACUUAUAUAUGGAUCCGCGCCGCAUUAGCUAGUUGGUAAGGUAACGGCUUACCAAGGCAACGAUGCGUAGCCGACCUGAGAGGGUGAUCGGCCACACUGGAACUGAGACACGGUCCAGACUCCUACGGGAGGCAGCAGUAGGGAAUCUUCCGCAAUGGGCGAAAGCCUGACGGGGCAACGCCGCGUGAGUGAUGAAGGUCUUCGGAUCGUAAAACUCUGUUAUUAGGGAAGAACAAAUGUGUAAGUAACUAUGCACGUCUUGACGGUACCUAAUCAGAAAGCCACGGCUAACUACGUG
rnacentral:rRNA from 1 species